rnacentral:rRNA from 1 species
CCUACGGGGAGCAGCAGUGAGGAAUAUUGGUCAAUGGCCGGAAGGCUGAACCAGCCAUGCCGCGUGAAGGUCAGUGCCCUAUGGGCGUUAAACUUCUUUUGUCGGGGAGCAAAAGACGCCACGCGUGGCGUUCCGAGAGUACCCGAAGAAAAAGCAUCGGCUAACUCCGUGCCAGCAGCCGCGGUAAUACGGAGGACGCGAGCGUUAUCCGGAUUUAUUGGGUUUAAAGGGUGCGCAGGCGGAAGAUCAAGUCAGCGGUAAAAUUGAGAGGCUCAACCUCUUCGAGCCGUUGAAACUGGUUUUCUUGAGUGAGCGAGAAGUAUGCGGAAUGCGUGGUGUAGCGGUGAAAUGCAUAGAUAUCACGCAGAACUCCGAUUGCGAAGGCAGCAUACCGGCGCUCAACUGACGCUCAUGCACGAAAGUGUGGGUAUCGAACAGGAUUAGAUACCCCUGUAGUC